UUAAAAUCAAAACGGAUAUCGAAAUGUAUCUGUUUAUAGUUUGUUUAAAACUCAACUUUAACUUUGGAAUUUAAGGAUAUGAUAGGAGAGAUAUAUUGUGUAAACCUAGCUUUAUAUCAAUGAUUAAAAUGACGAGAUGGGUUUUAUUAUUCUUUAUAUGUCACUAUUCUGCUUCAGUUGAAAAUGAUCAAGUUUGUGCUGAUAGCUUCUGUUCACAGAUUAUGCUAUCAGCGCCACCCUUUUAUUUUGAAGGACACGUGACAACUGUUGGAAAGCUAGGGUCUAUAAUAUGUCCACCUCAAGAAUUCAAAUUUAGUCUGUUUGAAUGUGACAUGAACAAAUGUGACUGCAAAGUGGCGUUAUUAGUAUAUAACAAUUGCUUCCUAUUUGAAAAAGAUUUUUGUGAUAAGUUCGUAAAUUGCACGGACUGUAAAAACUUUACCAAGAAAUGUUCUACUAAAGAGUUGAAUAAAUACUGUCCUAAACAAUUUCCAAUCUCACCAAAAGUAACGACGACGACUUCAAAACCAAAUGCUGGCCUUACUGUUUUCCUAAUUAGCUUAGUGUGCCUCAUUAUUACAACUAUAAGUGUUUACGUUUAUAAACAGAGGCGAAGACAGAUGCGUCAACUAUAAACACAUACACAAAGAAAUGGUUCCAUGGAGAAGCUAACAUCAUAUUCAUGUAACAAAACAAGAUAAAAUUAAUAAAUUUUAACACAAA